rnacentral:rRNA from 1 species
GUGGGGAAUCUUCCGCAAUGGACGAAAGUCUGACGGAGCAACGCCGCGUGAGUGAAGAAGGUUUUCGGAUCGUAAAGCUCUUUCGUUAGGGACGAACGUGCUCUUUGUGAAUAAUGAGGAGUAAUGACGGUACCUAAAUAAGAAGCCACGGCUAACUACGUGCCAGCAGCCGCGGUAAUACGUAGGUGGCAAGCGUUGUCCGGAAUUAUUGGGCGUAAAGCGCGCGCAGGCGGGAUAUCAAGUCUGUCUUAAAAGUGCGAGGCGCAACCUCGUGAGGGGACAGAAACUGGUAUUAUUGAGUGUCGGAGAGGAAAGUGGAAUUCCAAGUGUAGCGGUGAAAUGCGUAGAGAUUUGGAAGAACACCAGUGGCGAAGGCGACUUUCUGGACGAUGUCUGACGCUGAGGCGCGAAAGCUAGGGGAGCGAACGGGAUUAGAAACCCCGGUAGUCC